rnacentral:rRNA from 1 species
GACGAACGCUGGCGGCGUGCUUAACACAUGCAAGUCGAACGGUAAGGCCCUUCGGGGUACACGAGUGGCGAACGGGUGAGUAACACGUGGGUGAUCUGCCCUGCACUUCGGGAUAAGCCUGGGAAACUGGGUCUAAUACCGGAUAGGACCACUGCCUGCAUGGGUGGUGGUGGAAAGCUUUUGCGGUGUGGGAUGGGCCCGCGGCCUAUCAGCUUGUUGGUGGGGUGAUGGCCUACCAAGGCGACGACGGGUAGCCGGCCUGAGAGGGUGACCGGCCACACCGGACUGAGAUACGGCCCAGACUCCUACGGGAGGCAGCAGUGGGGAAUAUUGCACAAUGGGCGCAAGCCUGAUGCAGCGACGCCGCGUGAGGGAUGACGGCCUUCGGGUUGUAAACCUCUUUCAGCACCGACGAAGCGCAAGUGACGGUAGGUGCAGAAGAAGGACCGGCCAACUACGUGCCAGCCGCCGCAGUAA